AUUGAACGCUGGCGGCAGGCCUAACACAUGCAAGUCGAGCGGAUGAAGAGAGCUUGCUCUCUGAUUCAGCGGCGGACGGGUGAGUAAUGCCUAGGAAUCUGCCUGGUAGUGGGGGACAACGUUUCGAAAGGAACGCUAAUACCGCAUACGUACUACGGGAGAAAGAGGGGGAUCUUCGGACCUCAAGCUAUCAGAUGAGCCUAGGUACGAUUAGCUAGUUGGUGAGGUAAAGGCUCACCAAGGCGACGAUCGCUAACUGGUCUGAGAGGAUGGUCGGUCACACUGGAACUGAGACACGGACCAGACUCCUACGGGAGGCAGCAGUGGGGAAUAUUGGACAAUGGGCGAAAGCCUGAUCCAGCCAUGCCGCGUGUGUGAAGAAGGUCUUCGGAUUGUAAAGCACUUUAAGUUGGGAGGAAGGGCAGUAAGUUAAUACCUUGCUGUUUUGACGUUACCGACAGAAUAAGCACCGGCUAACUUCGUGCCAGCAGCCGCCGUAA
rnacentral:rRNA from 1 species